GUGGAAUCAAGAAAAGCUUGGUGCUUAGGACGACCACAAAGACAAACUCUGCUGAACUCAGGCAGACAACCAAAUCAUUCAGGUCUUAAUUUUAUUUCAUUUCCAUAAUAUGCUUCUGAUUAACUCUAUAAAUAUAGUCUGUGUACAUUAAUAUUUGUCUAAUAAGAACGCUUGAUAAGGCUUUUUUUAUUUUUUUCAAGGAUUAGAUGUUCUUAGAUGAUGCUGUUUCUUUCUUUAUUUGCCUGACAUAUUACAGUGAAAUAGGUCCUAUCCAUAAGAGGUUUUUUGGUCCUUCGCAUAUCAGAAAAAGCAAAUUCUGCCUCUUGACGUUGUUUGUUUUAAUUAUUUUUAUUAUCUGUUUAACUGUGUUUCUUUAGCUCGGAGUAACUGAAGCAGAAAAAACGGGGUCCUGUCCCGGCCGGCAGUUUUCAUAAAAUAUAAAAGAAAAAAGUUGGGGGCGGCCGCUGCCGUGGGAGGGUGGGGGUAGUGGAGGAAGAGGAGGGGAAAGAGUGGGCUAAUUAAUUAUAGAAAAUUAUUAU
rnacentral:misc_RNA from 1 species